rnacentral:rRNA from 1 species
UACAGAGGUCUCAAGCGUUGUUCGGAUUCAUUGGGCGUAAAGGGUGCGUAGGCGGCGCGGUAAGUCGGGUGUGAAAUCUCGGGGCUUAACUCCGAAACUGCAUUCGAUACUGCCGUGCUUGAGGACUGGAGAGGAGACUGGAAUUUACGGUGUAGCGGUGAAAUGCGUAGAUAUCGGUAAGGGAAGACCAGUGGCGAAGGCGGGUCUCGUGGACAGUUCCUGACGCUGAGCACGAAGGCCAGGGGAGCAAACGGG